CAGCAGCCACGGUAAUACGUAGGGUGCAAGCGUUAAUCGGAAUUACUGGGCGUAAAGCGCGCGCAGGCGGUUAUGUAAGACAGUUGUGAAAUCCCCGGGCUCAACCUGGGAACUGCAUCUGUGACUGCAUAGCUAGAGUACGGUAGAGGGGGAUGGAAUUCCGCGUGUAGCAGUGAAAUGCGUAGAUAUGCGGAGGAACACCGAUGGCGAAGGCAAUCCCCUGGACCUGUACUGACGCUCAUGCACGAAAGCGUGGGGAGCAAACAGGAUUAGAUACCCCUGUAGUCCCUGUCUCUUAUAC
rnacentral:rRNA from 1 species